GCCACCAUAUAUGCUAGUGCUUGCUGCAGCUCCACCUCACUACCUUUUCCUACCCAUAAGCUUAAAUAGUCCUGAUCGCGAGGGUGUGAGAUUGCUGAGUCCCCUCGACUCACAGAUUACUUCCAAAACCAGUUGCAGGUGCCGAUGAUACCGUGCAGGUGACGCAACCGAGCUCAAUGAGGAGCUCGAAGAAGAUCGUGUUCGUUGUGUUGAUUCGUUUUCCAGUUGAUCAGUAGUGGGGCCUAGUCGGGGUGAUCGGGGAUCUUUUGCAUUAGGGGUAGUCUUCUUUUAUUUUGGUUCCGUAGUCGGACCUUGAUUGUAUUCUAGAUGAUGUAAUGCUAUAUUUAUUUAUUGUGUGAAG
rnacentral:lncRNA from 1 species